GUCAAAUUGAUCCUGUUGUAGUAGAGGUGUGUGUCGGCCCUCCACUGCAAAUGAGACGCACAGAUAUCGAGUCUCUGAGGCCGUGAAUGUAUCCUGACUGCUAAUUGGAUGUGCCGGGCAGCUGCGGAUGUAAUGUGAUUGUAGAUUGACCACCUUCUCGUCAUGCCCUGAACGUCCAGACCAAGAUGGAUGCUGACAUUUGACGGCCAGCAGUUUUUCAUGCUUGGAAAGACAAGCAGUGUAAUCCUUCAUGGGUAAACUGUCUGGACGGCUGAAGAUAUUCAUCUUCAUCAUCUGGAAAGAG